GUUAAGCGACUAAGCGUACACGGUGGAUGCCCUGGCAGUCAGAGGCGAUGAAGGACGUGCUAAUCUGCGAUAAGCGUCGGUAAGGUGAUAUGAACCGUUAUAACCGGCGAUUUCCGAAUGGGGAAACCCAGUGUGAUUCGUCACACUAUCAUUAACUGAAUCCAUAGGUUAAUGAGGCGAACCGGGGGAACUGAAACAUCUAAGUACCCCGAGGAAAAGAAAUCAACCGAGAUUCCCCCAGUAGCGGCGAGCGAACGGGGAGCAGCCCAGAGCCUGAAUCAGUGUGUGUGUUAGUGGAAGCGUCUGGAAAGGCGCGCGAUACAGGGUGACAGCCCCGUACACAAAAAUGCACAUGCUGUGAGCUCGAUGAGUAGGGCGGGACACGUGGUAUCCUGUCUGAAUAUGGGGGGACCAUCCUCCAAGGCUAAAUACUCCUGACUGACCGAUAGUGAACCAGUACCGUGAGGGAAAGGCGAAAAGAACCCCGGCGAGGGGAGUGAAAAAGAACCUGAAACCGUGUACGUACAAGCAGUGGGAGCACAGAGCAAUCUGUGUGACUGCGUACCUUUUGUAUAAUGGGUCAGCGACUUAUAUUCUGUAGCAAGGUUAACCGAAUAGGGGAGCCGAAGGGAAACCGAGUCUUAACUGGGCGUUAAGUUGCAGGGUAUAGACCCGAAACCCGGUGAUCUAGCCAUGGGCAGGUUGAAGGUUGGGUAACACUAACUGGAGGACCGAACCGACUAAUGUUGAAAAAUUAGCGGAUGACUUGUGGCUGGGGGUGAAAGGCCAAUCAAACCGGGAGAUAGCUGGUUCUCCCCGAAAGCUAUUUAGGUAGCGCCUCGUGAAUUCAUCUCCGGGGGUAGAGCACUGUUUCGGCAAGGGGGUCAUCCCGACUUACCAACCCGAUGCAAACUGCGAAUACCGGAGAAUGUUAUCACGGGAGACACACGGCGGGUGCUAACGUCCGUCGUGAAGAGGGAAACAACCCAGACCGCCAGCUAAGGUCCCAAAGUCAUGGUUAAGUGGGAAACGAUGUGGGAAGGCCCAGACAGCCAGGAUGUUGGCUUAGAAGCAGCCAUCAUUUAAAGAAAGCGUAAUAGCUCACUGGUCGAGUCGGCCUGCGCGGAAGAUGUAACGGGGCUAAACCAUGCAC
rnacentral:rRNA from 1 species